CCUUGAUGUGUAGGAUAGGUGGGAGGCUUUGAAGUGUGGACGCCAGUCUGCAUGGAGCCGACCUUGAAAUACCACCCUUUAAUGUUUGAUGUUCUAACGUUGACCCGUAAUCCGGGUUGCGGACAGUGUCUGGUGGGUAGUUUGACUGGGGCGGUCUCCUCCUAAAGAGUAACGGAGGAGCACGAAGGUUGGCUAAUCCUGGUCGGACAUCAGGAGGUUAGUGCAAUGGCAUAAGCCAGCUUGACUGCGAGCGUGACGGCGCGAGCAGGUGCGAAAGCAGGUCAUAGUGAUCCGGUGGUUCUGAAUGGAAGGGCCAUCGCUCAACGGAUAAAAGGUACUCCGGGGAUAACAGGCUGAUACCGCCCAAGAGUUCAUAUCGACGGCGGUGUUUGGCACCUCGAUGUCGGCUCAUCACAUCCUGGGGCUGAAGUAGGUCCCAAGGGUAUGGCUGUUCGCCAUUUAAAGUGGUACGCGAGCUGGGUUUAGAACGUCGUGAGACAGUUCGGUCCCUAUCUGCCGUGGGCGCUGGAGAACUGAGGGGGGCUGCUCCUAGUACGAGAGGACCGGAGUGGACGCAUCACUGGUGUUCGGGUUGUCAUGCCAAUGGCACUGCCCGGUAGCUAAAUGCGGAAGAGAUAAGUGCUGAAAGCAUCUAAGCACGAAACUUGCC
rnacentral:rRNA from 1 species